CCCUUAGAUGUUCUGGGCCGCACGCGCGCUACACUGAUUCAUGCAACAAGUUUUGUCCUUGGCUGAUAGGCCUGGGUAAUCUUUGAACGUGAAUCGUGAUGGGGAUAGAUGAUUGCAAUUAUUCAUCUUCAACGAGGAAUUCCUAGUAAACGCAAGUCAUCAGCUUGCAUUGAUUACGUCCCUGCCCUUUGUACACACCGCCCGUCGCACCUACCGAUUGAAUGGUCCGGUGAAAUCUUCGGAUCUGAGAGAUGUCUGAUUAAUUUCGGACGCCUUCUGGAAAAGUUGUUUAAACCUUACCAUUUAGAGGAAGGUGAAGUCGUAACA
rnacentral:rRNA from 1 species